rnacentral:rRNA from 1 species
GAUGAACGCUAGCGGCAGGCUUAACACAUGCAAGUCGAGGGGCAGCAUGAAGGUUAGCAAUAACCUUUGAUGGCGACCGGCGCAAGGGUGCGUAACGCGUGAGCAACUUGCCCGUUUCAGGGGGAUAACCGGUGGAAACGCCGACUAAUACCCCAUGGCAUCAUUAGGAGGCAUCUCCUUCUGAUUAAAGAAUUUCGGAAACGGAUAGGCUCGCGUGACAUUAGCUAGACGGCGGGGUAACGGCCCACCGUGGCGACGAUGUCUAGGGGUUCUGAGAGGAAGGUCCCCCACACUGGAACUGAGACACGGGUCCAG